rnacentral:rRNA from 1 species
AUUGAACGCUGGCGGAAGGCCUAACACAUGCAAGUCGAACGAGUGGCGGACGGGUGAGUAAUGUCUGGGAAACUGCCUGAUGGAGGGGGAUAACUAAUGGAAACGGUAGCUAAUACCGCAUACCAUCGGAUGUGCGCAGCUGGGAUUAGCUUGUUGGUGGGGUAACGGCUCACCAAGGCGACUAUCCCUAGCUGGUCUGAGAGGAUGCCCAGCAACACUGGAACUGAGACACGGUCCAGACUCCUACGGUAGGCAGCAGUGGGGAAUAUGGCACAAUGGGCGCAAGCCUGAUGCAGCCAUGCCGCGUGUAUGAAGAAGGCCUUCGGGUUGUAAAGUACUUUCAGCGGGGAGGCGUUACCCGCAGAAGAAGCACCGGCUAACUCCGUGCCAGCAGCCGCGGUAAUAC